rnacentral:lncRNA from 1 species
AAUUGCAAAUUGUCUGGAAUAGUUAAAUGGUGAGCUAUUCUUAAUACCUUUGGCAAAAACUCUACUUGCAGUAUGAUGACCGGAGACACAGCUGUUGGAGGAAAAAAGUUUAUGUCAAUUAAAAUCCUGAAUUUCUCUGAUCUGGAAAGAAAAACUGCUAUGAACUCUUUAGAAGAUUUGGUUCUUGAAGACAGGAGCUCUGUCUAACUCAGUUAUGUAGAUGCCAACACAAGUGCUGAAGAGGAUGUUACAUGAGAGAAAGAUGGAUUCAUAUGUGGAAAAGCCUUCUAAGGAUAAAGUCUACCAUAUACUGACUUACUUUUGGAGG